UACGGAGGGUGCAAGCGUUAUCCGGAUUCACUGGGUUUAAAGGGUGCGUAGGUGGGCUGGUAAGUCAGUGGUGAAAUCUCCAGGCUUAACUUGGAAACUGCCAUUGAUACUAUCAGUCUUGAAUACCGUGGAGGUCGGCGGAAUAUGUCAUGUAGCGGUGAAAUGCUUAGAUAUGACAUAGAACACCAAUUGCGAAGGCAGCUGGCUACACGAAUAUUGACACUGAGGCACGAAAGCGUGGGGAGCAAACAGG
rnacentral:rRNA from 1 species